UACGGAGGGGGCUAGCGUUGUUCGGAAUUACUGGGCGUAAAGCGCACGUAGGCGGAUCAGUUAGUCGGGGGUGAAAUCCCGGGGCUCAACCCCGGAACUGCCUUCGAUACUGCUGGUCUGGAGUCCGAGAGAGGUGAGUGGAAUUCCGAGUGUAGAGGUGAAAUUCGUAGAUAUUCGGAGGAACACCAGUGGCGAAGGCGGCUCACUGGCUCGGUACUGACGCUGAGGUGCGAAAGCGUGGGGAGCAAACAGGG
rnacentral:rRNA from 1 species